rnacentral:rRNA from 1 species
UACAGAGGCCUCGAGCGUUAGGCGGAAUCACUGGGCUUAAAGCGUGUGUAGGUGGAUGCCUAAGUGCCUUGUGAAAUCCCACGGCUUAACCGUGGAACUGCUUGGUAUACUGCCAGUCUUGAGCCAUCUAGGGGCUACCGGAACAAAUGGUGGAGCGGUGAAAUGCGUAGAUAUCAUUUGGAACGCCAAUGGUGAAAACAGGUAGCUGGGGAUGUGCUGACGCUGAGACACGGAAAGCCAGGGGAGCAAACGGG